GACUGUGGGGAAGUCACAGCAGCCACGUGGAUCUUCUAUGAAGACAUGCAUGCAGCUUUGGGGGCCAGACCUUCAGUUCAGCCUCCAGUGUUGGUAGCAUCUUAUGAAGAUCCCACACAAAUCCUCAUGAACAUAAUCAACCCUCCGCUGUCACCAGUGUCCUCUCCCUCAACUCAGGCGGAAAGCACAGAGAACACUUUGGAAGAGGCCAGCACAUCAUCAGCCCCCAGCCCUGCAUCAGCUGGAAGUGCCUCUGACCCACCACCAACCAGUGCAUCUUCCUCAA